CGCGACCAAGAGUCCGUGCGAGACGUGAGGUCCUCCGUCGUCCCCCAACCGACAACGGCACAUAGACAGCUAUACGUGACCCGAUCGGAGCCGUCCACCACCCGAACCGACUCCGUGAUCGAGAAUCCACCAAGCACCAACCACCGUCUCUCUUAUAUACGCGUUCCCCUCGCCCCGUUCUCUCCUGCUCCCAGCACCGCCCGUCGCAGGGACGGCUCAUCUUCGUUCCGUCGCGGGGAUCGUGAGAUCUCAUGGGUUAUCUCUUCUUUUUGAUUAAGUGGUGGACGAUUCGCCUCUCCAAAUACAUGUCUAUCCCUUAAGCGAAGGGAUUUUGUGGCCUUCCGUUUGUGACGGCUGAAUCGGUUGAUGCGUCAGAUCCGUCAGUUUAUGCCAUCUGCUUCCUGUUCGCAUGCCCCUGUGGAUGUUUAUCUCCGUGGAACGCCACUCCUGCUGGUUCAUCUUCACUGGUUUAUGAUGCCCACGGCCAACGCCACUGAAAUCUUCUCAGACGAUGGUUGGUGGUUAAGCUGAAGAAUGCUUUCUUGAGGCUUUCUUGUCUCCGCAAGGCGCCAGAAGGAAACUGGCCAUCCGAUAUAUGGUUUCUGUUUGCCGAUCAAAUGAUGUACGUGUUCCCUUCGGCUCACAAGAUGAUGCUGGCCUGUCUCCAAGCAUCACAGAAAGGUAAUUGUGUUGGUAAGCUGAUGAUGCGCAUGUGAGCACAUGCGUAUUGUACUACUUGAUGUACCAGUACAUUGGUAGGCUAGGACGGCCUUUGCCAUGUAGGGUGCGCUCGCCUUGGCAGGCCACGAGACAAUAAAAAGUAUAUUUGGUGGUGUUUGCGGGGUGGAGAUCGCACGGGAACAAUCUAUUUGUUCUACUUUGCCCGGGUUCUCCACCCUGCCAUGUGUCUCUGUCCUUCUCCUGUGUUUGAUUUUGCGGCAUCAACUGAAGUACACCACGAUCGUACAUAGCAAAUAUGUCAGACAGGCCUGGGCGCAGCGGUAACUACGUUGUGAGGAUCAAUUUAACUACGCACGAAGGUACAUCUAACUGCUUCUUUCAGCGUUAUAUCAAUUUAAAUUUGAAGUGACCCUGAAACAUUGGUACCCUUUUCUGAAGGGUCAAUCUGAACUGACCUCGUAGUUGUCGAUCCAAAAAUGCUUGUGCGAGCAACUGUAUAAAUGGUGGACCUUCAGUUUGAUACAAGGUUGAUCAUACCCGUAAUUUUGUACCCUUGCACCCCGAGAAUGAAAAUAGGGAAAUUCCCACCAUCUACUUGCGCAACACGGGCUAAGUGAUCCUGAGAACUUUUAAUAACUCUGCAUAUUUAUUUUAUCUUACCAUGCCGUGUCCGUAGUCUUGUGGUCCUAAGAAGGCGAGUUGCUUGCAUUUCCUGUUGGUUACCAUGAGUACUUCUCUAUGUAUAUACCAUCGGAAGACUUGAUUCCUUUGUGUACAACUAGUUAGUCUUCGAAAUUUAUUUGUAUACUUAGUUACUGGAGCUUGUCCAAAUAUUGCUGCUGCAUCAUACUACCUCACGUGGAAAGUUGGAUUCGUUUUGAGGAUUACUGGAGGCAGAUCUUCAUAUCUAAUGAAGUUGCAGACCAGUUAUGAUUGUCAAUGCCAUUUUCGCUCUUAAGAAAUGUUGCUAGUGUUUGAUAUACUGAAACCUGAAUUGAAGAAUGUGUUGAUAUAUUCUGUAAGGUGCAGGCGCUGCGUCGAGGAAGCCUGGUUAGUUACGCAAUUUCAGCUCGCUGAUUGCCUGCUUAAAUUGCAAUAUGUAAGAUUAGAGAACCCAGCGUGCGGUUUUUUCAUAGCUUAAAAUGUCUUCUGUGAAGACUGACUUAUUAUGAACUGUGAUUCAAUUUAUUGAAUAUUUUUUUACA